ensembl:rRNA 5S_rRNA 5S ribosomal RNA
GCCUACAGCCAUACCACCCAGAACAGGCCCGAUCUCGUCUGAUCUCGGAAGCUAAGCAGGGUCGGGCAUGCCUUAGUACGUGGAUGGGAGACCACCUGGGAUACCGGGUGCUGUAGGCU